rnacentral:ncRNA from 1 species
UGCGCAAAGCGUGCUUCAUAACGAUGUUGGGGAACGCGACACCUUUCAGGCGGGCGGUCCGAAUAUACUGCGCGGUCAUCACUUCGGUCAUCGAAGCGCGGGUCAUCCGCGCGAUGUACCCCAUGCCAUAAAGCGCGAUGGUCAGCACCGGCAGGAAGAAAUUUUCGAAGGUCGGGUUU